GACGUAGGGGGCAAGCGUUAUUCGGAAUCAUUGGGCGUAAAGCGCUCGUAGGCGGCUUGUUAAGUCGGGUGUGAAAUCCCUGGGCUCAACCCAGGAAGUGCACUCGAAACUGGCGAGCUUGAAUAUGGAAGAGGGUCGCGGAAUUCCCGGUGUAGAGGUGAAAUUCGUAGAUAUCGGGAGGAACACCAGUGGCGAAGGCGGCGACCUGGGCCAAUAUUGACGCUGAGGUGCGAAAGCGUGGGGAGCAAACAGG
rnacentral:rRNA from 1 species